CGCUAGAUCUGUUGUCAAUUCAUUCUUGUAAAGUUUUGUGAUCAAAUUCAUCGAUUAGACGUCACGGACGCUGACACUGAUAUGGGACACGACACGAUUCGGACACGAUGACUCGACAAUUUUCAAGAUAUUCGAACACGGAUAUGGCAUAAAGACCACUAAUAAAAUAUAAUAUUAUUAGGAGCCCGGCUAUUAUACUAUCGAUAGUACCAAGCCCUUGGUACUAUUGAGUUUUCUACCGUUAGAUCUAUCCUUUGAUCAUUUCCAUCCGUUAGAUUAUACUAUUAAACCAAUCAACCACUCAACCCUAGGGGACCACUAUCAUCCUAACCGCACAUCCUUUCAUCCAACGGCCAAAAACUCAAUAGUACCAAAGGCUUGGUACUAUUGAUAGUAUAGUAGCAUAAUUCAUAUUAUUAGUAUAUUAAUAUAUAUUUAUUAUAUAUAAAAUAUUAAUAUUGGUACAAUAUUAGUAUAUUCCUCAUAUGAAUAAAAGUUAGUAAAGUUUUCAUUAAU
rnacentral:lncRNA from 1 species